GACGAACGCUGGCGGCGUGCCUAAUACAUGCAAGUAGAACGCACAGUUUAUACCGUAGCUUGCUACACCAUAGACUGUGAGUUGCGAACGGGUGAGUAACGCGUAGGUAACCUGCCUGGUAGCGGGGGAUAACUAUUGGAAACGAUAGCUAAUACCGCAUAAUAUUGAUUAUUGCAUGAUAAUUGAUUGAAAGAUGCUAUUGCAUCACUACCAGAUGGACCUGCGUUGUAUUAGCUAGUAGGUGAGGUAACGGCUCACCUAGGCGACGAUACAUAGCCGACCUGAGAGGGUGAUCGGCCACACUGGGACUGAGACACGGCCCAGACUCCUACGGGAAGCAGCAGUAGGGAAUCUUCGGCAAUGGACGAAAGUCUGACCGAGCAACGCCGCGUGAGUGAAGAAGGGUUUCGGAUCGUAAAGCUCUGUUGUAAGGGAAGAAAGGGUGUGAGAGUGGAAAGUUCACACUGUGACGGUAUCUUACCAGAAAGGGACGGCUAACUACGUG
rnacentral:rRNA from 1 species